rnacentral:rRNA from 1 species
AUCUAUAGCCAUACCAAUCGGAAUGCGCACAAUCUCGUCUGAUCUCGGAAGCUAAGCAGGGUCAGGCCUGGUUAGUACUUAGAUGGGAAGAAAACCACCAAUGUCAAAUUCUGGAGAGGAUGUGGAGA